rnacentral:rRNA from 1 species
CCUACGGGGGGCAGCAGUGGGGAAUAUUGGACAAUGGGCGAAAGCCUGAUCCAGCCAUGCCGCGUGUGUGAAGAAGGCCUUCGGGUUGUAAAGCACUUUCAGUGGGGAAGAAAGCCUUGGGGCUAAUACCCUCGAGGAAGGACAUCACCCACAGAAGAAGCACCGGCUAACUCCGUGCCAGCAGCCGCGGUAAUACGGAGGGGUGCGAGCGUUAAUCGGAAUUACUGGGCGUAAAGCGCGCGUAGGCGGUCUGAUAAGCCGGUUGUGAAAGCCCCGGGCUCAACCUGGGAACGGCAUCCGGAACUGUCAGGCUAGAGUGCAGGAGAGGAAGGUAGAAUUCCCGGUGUAGCGGUGAAAUGCGUAGAGAUCGGGAGGAAUACCAGUGGCGAAGGCGGCCUUCUGGACUGACACUGACGCUGAGGUGCGAAAGCGUGGGUAGCAAACAGGAUUAGAUACCCUAGUAGUC